rnacentral:lncRNA from 1 species
AACAUUCCACCUCCUCUUUUCCAGCAUAAACAAAUCAGAAACCCUUAGAAAAUCACUUGCCUGCAUACUAAUGAAGGUGGGCUAGUGGGUCAAUGGAAUAUCGGCUACUCAUCGGUCCCGGAUAAGUGACACCAUCAUACACAAUCCAACUAGUUUAAGCCAUCACAUUAGGGAGACGAGAGCAGAUCUCCAUCCAAAAGAACGAACCCCU